GAUGAACGCUGGCGGCGUGCCUAAUACAUGCAAGUCGAGCGAACAGACGAGGAGCUUGCUCCUUCGACGUUAGCGGCGGACGGGUGAGUAACACGUAGGUAACCUACCUAUAAGACUGGGAUAACUUCGGGAAACCGGAGCUAAUACCGGAUAAUAUUUCGAACCGCAUGGUUCGAUAGUGAAAGAUGGCUUUGCUAUCACUUAUCGAUGGACCUGCGCCGUAUUAGCUAGUUGGUAAGGUAACGGCUUACCAAGGCAACGAUACGUAGCCGACCUGAGAGCGUGAUCGGCCACACUGGAACUGAGACACGGUCCAGACUCCUACGGGAGGCAGCAGUAGGGAAUCUUCCGCAAUGGGCGAAAGCCUGACGGAGCAACGCCGCGUGAGUGAUGAAGGUCUUCGGAUCGUAAAACUCUGUUAUUAGUGAAGAACAAACGUGUAAGUAACUGUGCACGUCUUGACGGUACCUAAUCAGAAAGCCACGGCUAACUACGUG
rnacentral:rRNA from 1 species